ensembl:lncRNA
AAUUUCUUUCUGGACAUCCCUCCUUUGUGGAGCUUUUCAUUGUGAGCCUAAAUCUUUGGACAUAGGUGGUUGUGUGUGGAGCCAGAAGUUGGACUUGAUGAUUCCUGUGGGUCUCUUGUGGGAUAUUCCGUGAUUCUACAACUCUAAGAUGAGAGUUCUGUGUUUUACAAGCUGAGAGCUGAUGAUGUCUUUUGAAGUCAGUGGCUGUCUCCUGAUUGUAAACUGUCUAAAGCAGCAGUGGCUGGAACUGAGAUAGUUACUUCCAAAUGAGUUUUUAACUAAAUUAGGUUUUGAUAGCAGCUUAUCAAUAGCUGACAGCUGAGUAUUGAUAGAAAAGAGCAGAGUGAAGAUAGUUUCUUAUUUGCCAUCUGCUAGGUGACAGCACAGACAUCUAAUUCAUUUCUAUAUGAAGAACCAUUAGUGCCAUGCACAGAUUUCUGCAAGGACCCAGUGGCUGUUCCUAGCAUGUCACUUGCUCACAGCAUGUCCCUGCCAAAAGCAAAAAAAAUUAGCCCGAUUAUUUGGUAUAUAUUUAGCUGAGUUUAGCAAAGAGAUAUAGAGCCAACACUUGUCACGAAAUACACUUGUGUCCAUGAUAGCUGCUGCAAGCAACUCUUGUGCUCCUGAGAGUGUGUUAACCAUCUCCAGGCAAUGAUCAGACAAAACAUUCAGCACAGAUCCCAUGAUCCAGUUAUACCACUUGUCCAGAAACAAUGACAUGAAAAACCACUGUUCAUAAAGCAGGCUCCAGCACCAAUUCCAAGCUCCCUCUUUGAAUCAGAGCCAGGAAGACAACUCAGAGAUCUGGUCUUAUCUCAGAUACUUGUAAGUAUCACAAAGAUGACAAAAAAGCCUUAACAUGAAAUAUGCAAUCAACUGCCUUGUGAUCAUAGAGCUAGACUACAGACAAGGCCUGAUAGCUGCUGCUGUUGGUGUUGCUGCUGCUGGUGUUGGUGUUGCUGCUCCUGCUGUUGUUUCAUUGAUUCUGUGAUUCCUAGGAGCAAUUUGCUACACACAAGAAGUGCCAUCUGCUCCUCACUUUAGACGUAACAUAAGCUUAAGACAUCCUUGCAUAUAUGCAAGAGAGCCUUCAGUAAUUUUAACCACGUCUUGUAGAAGGAAUUCCCCCAAGAGAAAGGCUAUUUCAGCUUGUCACUGUUUCAUGGACAUUAGUGAAGAAGAUGGAAAGGCUGCUCUGGAUUUUCCUCACUCUCCCUGAGCUCUGCAGAAAUGGGCAUCACAACAGAUCCAAAGAUUUCACCUCUGUCAUAACUACUGUGGGCCAACAGGAAAAAUCUGCAGCUGCAAGAAAACAAUCCACAGAAAUUAAAGGUAUAUAUUUUGUAACCAUCCCUAGAGCAUCUUAAAUAAGUUUGGCAGUGAAGAGGAUAAUUAAUGCAGGCUAGAUGGUGAUUGUUUGAAAUUAAAAUCACACCUGAAUUAAACUUGCUGUGAGAUCUGCAACAUGGAACUCACUUGAGAUCUGAUUAUGUAAUACAUUGAGAUUCAAAUCCUGGGUCAAAUUGCUGGUUAAUACAAACAGAUACACUUUUCAUAGAAUAAAUGGACCUCUGACAACUCAUCUCUGCUAAAGAUCAGGAUGAAUAUUUGUUGAAAGAUUCUCAGAGCCUGCAGGUCUUUUCCGUGAACGUGCACCUUGACCAUAACAAAGUCUGACAGACCUAUAAUUCUGCAGCAGUCCCAGUGCUAACUUACUCUUUUCAAUGUGGUUUUAACCUGGAAUCUUUUCCAGAACAUUUUUGUUUGAGACUUAGGACUAAUUUGAAACUGAGAAUCAAAGUAGAAGCAAGGAAGAAGGGAAACCACAUGAACUGAAAAUAAAAAUCCAUGUAUAAUCAUGUAAGGAUCUGAAUCAUAACCUCAAAGCUGCACACUGUAAAGUUUUAGGAAGUUCAAGGAUCCAUGACUUCAGCAGGACCUGGAGCACCUGAGUGCCAGUACCUCAUGUCCAGCAGCUCCAGCCAGGGCUUUGCACCACUGGACUCCUACAACACCAGUGAUUUUUUGAGUUUAUUGACUAAUCCAGUUUUUUUUUGUUUGUUUGUUUUUUGCAAAAAUUACCCCACAUAAUUGUCCAUUAUCAUAACAGCUAUAGGCUGCUGGGAAGUUUUCAAAUAUCAUGACACGUGACUUUUGCUGGAUAGUACCACAGAGGGACUCUUCCUCCUCCUGUCCCUCCCCAGUUCAU